UACGUAGGGUGCGAGCGUUAAUCGGAAUUACUGGGCGUAAAGUGUGCGCAGGCGGCCGCGCAAGUCGAGUGUGAAAGCCCCGGGCUUAACUUGGGAAUUGCGCUCGAAACUACGUGGCUGGAGUGUGGCAGAGGAAGGUGGAAUUCCAGGUGUAGCGGUGAAAUGCGUAGAGAUCUGGAGGAACACCGAUGGCGAAGGCAGCCUUCUGGGCCAACACUGACGCUCAUGCACGAAAGCGUGGGAGCAAACAGG
rnacentral:rRNA from 1 species